AUGCAUAGAACAGAAGUGUGUAUUCUGUGUCCAUAUGUGCCACUGCACGAAGGUAUACGGUAUUCACCAUUGCCGCUAGAGAGACUGGAUCGAGUCUACAUUCCCGCAGGUCUACUGCUGUAUCCACUGUAAUAGUUUUGCAAAUGAAUAGCGUUUGGAAGUUAGAAGACUGUUCUCAUGACAUUUACAGCACGAGAAGUUUCAGACAGUGACAGCAGUGUGGUAAACAUGUACCAAGAGCUCUAUAGUGUAUCGCAUUAAGUAGUAACUUUGUAGAUCUAUGUCAUUGUUUAAAUAAUUGCAACAGAUUACUGGUAAGAGCUCAUCGCUCAUGUCGCUCUACUCAGUCGGUAUAAUUUGGGUAGAAUGAUUCUUGUAGGUAUUAUAAGCAAACCUUGCUUGAACAAUAAAUUAAACUUGUAAUAUACACAAACUGUUGUGCUAGAUUCAAUUGUGUAAUUGUACAUAUAUAAUCAUGUCAGAUCCAAUUAGCAGUCUCAAUCUAAGUGUAAACUGUUCAGGUUGUAAUUGCCUGGACUUGUAAGUUUCAUGGUAGUCGAUUUACCUUCUAUAGCAGCCAAUGCAUAUAAUACCAUAUCAUAUGCAUAUAGCAUUUGGGAGUAAUGUAUAAUGAGGUUGGAAAAUUACAGGGAAACCAUCGCCCCCUUGGCGCACACAGUUCCUACGGCUAUGGACACUACUAUUUCAUUGUUUUCAUUGUUAUCUUGAUGGUUGGCAUUUACUUAAUAAUUUACUGCCAUUAAGGAUUCACUAGUAGAGUAUUUAACUUCAUAAUGAUGUUCAUUUACCAUUCAGGUUACUGCUGUACCAUCUGUGUACCACUGGAACGCCAUUAAAUUUCCUGAUUCAAAUAGUCCAGUGGAUGAUGGAGGCAACCUGCAUUGGUUCCUUGGUACACAAAGAUGUGCUACAGGCACACUUGCCUAUUGG